UUGAAUGACCAUACUGUUUUAUUUGAAGAUGUGCAGGACAGAAGUGAAGGGACACAACUGCUUCUCAAAGUCAGGCUACUACAGAUUACACUGUGGCUGUGUGAAAGACACGAGGAUUCCCAGAAGAGGAAUAUGAGGCCAGUCAUGGCACUGUCAACUACAUUUGUGCAAAUCUACACUUGAGAUCCGGACUGUGUACUUAAGACUACCACUUAACAUGCAAGGUUAAUUCACUUGUAUAGGCCUAGUAGUCACAUUAGUUAUUUUUCCAGAGUUCAGAGGCAGUUAAACAGUACCUAGAAAGGACUAGGAACUGAACAGUAAAACCAUGCAAACAUUAGUCAAUAAAGUCAAAGACAAUAACCUUACUGCAAUGUAAACAGGUCCUGGGGUGCUUUUCAAAUGACAAUUUUUUUUUUUACUCUGUGGCUUUUAUAAAUCACUCUUUGGAGAGUUAGAAAAAAAAGAAUCAGGACAUCUUGUAUGGACAUAAUGUGUGCCUUCUGUGGUGUUGUACAAGAAUAAUGAAAAGUAAUGAAAAGAACAGUAAUUAACGCAAUCCAUAGUAAAUGGUGAUAUCGGAAAACAGUGAAGGGCCCAAAGAGAACUGGCUAAGAAGGAUAAAUGCUUGUUUUUUUAGGCUUCUUAUGCAUCUCAAAAUGCACUUUGGACAUAGGAAAAAAAUGGCACUUCAUUCUUCAGUUUCAAUUAUUUCUUUUUAACUCAACACUAUAUAGAUUAUUUGCACAUUGCAUACUAAAAUGAAAUGUGAAAUACUUUAAUAUUUUGGGCACAGAACGGUUAAAAAGGCCACUAUGUUUGAGAUAGACAGCGCAAGACUUGUAUAGUAACUGUCUAAAAUCAAAGAGGUCUUUUUCACAGUAAUAAUAAUGCAGAACGCCAUCUGUCAACACAUCAAAUCCAUAACAGAUUUCAAACCUGACAAACCACUUAUGAUUGGAGGGUUCCCCAACUAUGGUCCUGUGCAGCCUGGGUGUGCAGAGUUAUGUUCCAGCCCAGCCCUAACACAUGAUUCAGCUAGUCAUGGUCCUGAUGUAGUAUUCUCUCCCAAAAUUGCAAAACAUCCUGGCACAACAGUUGCAGAGUCAUUCCUCAAUUUAUUUGUUUGGCUAAAUGUUUAGCAUCCAAAAUGUAUUGUCAGCAUAACACCAUAACAGCAGUCGAUUGGUUGAAACAGACAGGUUUGGGCUGGCUUGGAACAAAACCCUAAGCUCAUCAGGACAGAAGUUGGGUAGCUGUAGUAGAAUGGCAAUUGAAAAAGCUAGCAUUGGUACUUCGUCAGCUACAAUAGAAACAAACUAGCACCCAUUCUAAGGGAUGAGGAAAUUAUCAAAAAAAUAAGAAAACUAAACGUUUCCAUAAUGUUCCCAUAAAAAAAAUAUGUUUCACAUCCUUACGGUCAGUCAUUGUUUAGCGCAAUGUCACAACUUAAAAA
ensembl:lncRNA